GCAAGUCGAGCGGUAAGGCCUUUCGGGGUACACGAGCGGCGAACGGGUGAGUAACACGUGGGUGAUCUGCCCUGCACUUCGGGAUAAGCCUGGGAAACUGGGUCUAAUACCGGAUAUGACCUCCUGUUGCAUGACUUGGGGUGGAAAGAUUUAUCGGUGCAGGAUGGGCCCGCGGCCUAUCAGCUUGUUGGUGGGGUAAUGGCCUACCAAGGCGACGACGGGUAGCCGACCUGAGAGGGUGACCGGCCACACUGGGACUGAGACACGGCCCAGACUCCUACGGGAGGCAGCAGUGGGGAAUAUUGCACAAUGGGCGAAAGCCUGAUGCAGCGACGCCGCGUGAGGGAUGACGGCCUUCGGGUUGUAAACCUCUUUCAGCAGGGACGAAGCGCAAGUGACGGUACCUGCAGAAGAAGCACCGGCUAACUACGUGCCAGCAGCCGCGGUAAUACGUAGGGUGCAAGCGUUGUCCGGAAUUACUGGGCGUAAAGAGUUCGUAGGCGGUUUGUCGCGUCGUUUGUGAAAACCAGCAGCUCAACUGCUGGCUUGCAGGCGAUACGGGCAGACUUGAGUACUGCAGGGGAGACUGGAAUUCCUGGUGUAGCGGUGAAAUGCGCAGAUAUCAGGAGGAACACCGGUGGCGAAGGCGGGUCUCUGGGCAGUAACUGACGCUGAGGAACGAAAGCGUGGG
rnacentral:rRNA from 1 species